CUUGGAGGUUGUGGCCUUGAGCCGUGGCUUUCGGAGCUAACGCGUUAAGUAGACCGCCUGGGGAGUACGGUCGCAAGAUUAAAACUCAAAUGAAUUGACGGGGGCCCGCACAAGCGGUGGAGCAUGUGGUUUAAUUCGAUGCAACGCGAAGAACCUUACCUACUCUUGACAUCCAGAGAACUUUCCAGAGAUGGAUUGGUGCCUUCGGGAACUCUGAGACAGGUGCUGCAUGGCUGUCGUCAGCUCGUGUUGUGAAAUGUUGGGUUAAGUCCCGCAACGAGCGCAACCCUUAUCCUUGUUUGCCAGCGAGUCAUGUCGGGAACUCCAGGGAGACUGCCGGUGAUAAACCGGAGGAAGGUGGGGACGACGUCAAGUCAUCAUGGCCCUUACGAGUAGGGCUACACACGUGCUACAAUGGCGCAUACAGAGGGCGGCCAACUUGCGAAAGUGAGCGAAUCCCAAAAAGUGCGUCGUAGUCCGGAUCGGAGUCUGCAACUCGACUCCGUGAAGUCGGAAUCGCUAGUAAUCGUGGAUCAGAAUGCCACGGUGAAUACGUUCCCGGGCCUUGUACACACCGCCCGUCACACCAUGGGAGUGGGCUGCAAAAGAAGUGGGUAGUUUAACUUCG
rnacentral:rRNA from 1 species